ACGAACGCUGGCGGCGUGCCUAAUACAUGCAAGUUGAGCGCUGAAGGUUGGUACUUGUACCGACUGGAUGAGCAGCGAACGGGUGAGUAACGCGUGGGGAAUCUGCCUUUGAGCGGGGGACAACAUUUGGAAACGAAUGCUAAUACCGCAUAAAAACUUUAUACACAAGUUUUAAGUUUGAAAGAUGCAAUUGCAUCACUCAAAGAUGAUCCCGCGUUGUAUUAGCUAGUUGGGGAGGUAAAGGCCCACCAAGGCGAUGAUACAUAGCCGACCUGAGAGGGUGAUCGGCCACAUUGGGACUGAGACACGGCCCAAACUCCUACGGGAGGCAGCAGUAGGGAAUCUUCGGCAAUGGACGAAAGUCUGACCGAGCAACGCCGCGUGAGUGAAGAAGGUUUUCGGAUCGUAAAACUCUGUUGGUAGGGAAGAACGUUGGUGGGAGUGGAAAGCUCAUCAAGUGACGGUAACUACCCAGAAAGGGACGGCUAACUACGU
rnacentral:rRNA from 1 species